rnacentral:misc_RNA from 1 species
GUGAAUCAUCGAAUCUUUGAACGCAAAUUGCACUCUCUGGUAUUCCGGAGAGUAUGCCUGUUUGAUGGUCAGUUUAAAUAAAAUUUGGUGUAGUUGCUGCCUUUCGUGUUGACUCACCGGAUUUGGUGCGUUUUGCCUUCGUGUAAGUGACCUAAAAUUUUGAAUUAUUUUUUCGUAUGUAUUUAAAUGUUUUUACGUACGUUUGCGU